UACGUAGGGGGCAAGCGUUGUCCGGAUUUAUUGGGCGUAAAGAGCUCGUAGGCGGCUAUUCACGUCGGAUGUGAAAGCUCAAGGCUCAACCUUGAGAGGCCAUUCGAUACGGGAUAGCUAGAGGUAGGUAGGGGAGAUCGGAAUUCCUGGUGUAGCGGUGAAAUGCGCAGAUAUCAGGAGGAACACCAGUGGCGAAGGCGGCUCACUGGCCCGGUACUGACGCUGAGGUGCGAAAGCGUGGGGAGCAAACAGG
rnacentral:rRNA from 1 species